UACGUAGGGGGCAAGCGUUGUCCGGAUUUAUUGGGCGUAAAGAGCGUGUAGGCGGCUUGACAAGUCUGCUGUGAAAACUCGAGGCUCAACCUCGAGCUGUCGGUGGAAACUGUCUGGCUAGAGUCCGGAAGAGGAGAGUGGAAUUCCUGGUGUAGCGGUGAAAAUGCGCAGAUAUCAGGAAGAACACCUAUGGCGAAGGCAGCUCUCUGGGACGGUACUGACGCUGAGACGCGAAAGCCGUGGGGAGCGAACAGG
rnacentral:rRNA from 1 species